AUACGGAGGAUGCAAGCGUUAUCCGGAUUUAUUGGGUUUAAAGGGUGCGUAGGCGGUUUGCUAAGCGGGAGGUGAAAUGCCGGCGCUCAACGUCGGAAGUGCCUCCCGAACUGGUGGACUUGAAUGACUCUGCCGUGGGAGGAAUGUGUAGUGUAGCGGUGAGAUGCUUAGAGAUUACACAGAACACCGAUUGCGAAGGCAUCUCACGAAGGGUUGAUUGACGCUGAGGCACGAAAGCGUGGGGAUCAAACAGGAUUAGAUACCCUGGUAGUCCACGCAGUAAACGAUGAUGGCUAACCGCUGGGCUUAUCAGUUCAGUGGCCAAGCGAAAGCGAUAAGCCAUCCACCUGGGGAGUACGACCGCAAGGUUGAAACUCAAAUGAAUUGACGGGG
rnacentral:rRNA from 1 species